GACGAACGCUGGCGGCGUGCCUAACACAUGCAAGUCGAACGAACAGACGAGGAGCUUUCUCCCCUGACGUUAGCGGGGGACGGGAGAGUAACACGUGGAUAACAUACCUCUAAGACUGGGAUACCAUCGGGGGACAGGAGCUAAUACCGGACAAUAUAUCGAACCUCGUGGUUCAAUAGUGAAAGAAGGUUUUGCUGUCACUUAUAGAUUGACCCGCGCCGCAUUAGCUAGUUGGUUAGGUAACGGCUUACCAAGGCAACGAGGGGAAGACGGCAUGAGAGAGUGGACGGCCACACUGGAACAGAGAAAGGGCCCAGACCCCUAGGGGGGGAAGCAGUAGGGAAUCUUCCGCAAUGGGGGAAAGCGUAACGGAGCACCGCGGGGUGAGGGAUGAAGCUCUUCGGAUGGUAAAACUCUGUUAUUAGGAGAGAAGAAAUGUGUAAGUAACUAUGCACGUAUUGACGGUACCUGAACAGAAAGCCACGGCUAACUACGUG
rnacentral:rRNA from 1 species